rnacentral:sRNA from 1 species
ACAAUGGACUGGCUUCAUAUGAGGGAUGGCGCACCGAUUCACCUUCUUUGGAUACUUCCAAGAAGGGAGGUGCUGCCUAUGGACACAAACGAUUUAAUGCUGAUGAUUUCUUUCGGCAUGUUAAUCGCGUUUAUUAUGUCCGACCAUAAAAAAUAACCCCUCAUAUGCUUGGCAGGCGUAAGGGGUUAUUCUUCCUACUGCGCCGCCCCUCUUAAUGGGGUUCGGUCUAUUGUACCGUAGGCGUUGGAGCGUCUACG